CUACUACAUCCAAGGAAGGCAGCAGGGGCGCAAGUUACCCAAUGGUGACACCCCGAGGUAGUGACAACCAAUCUGUGGAGGCAAC
rnacentral:rRNA from 1 species